UUUUACCAUAUAUAUUCAACAUACAUAAAUAUAUCAAAUAAUCUAAUUAAAAUAGACAAUAUUAAACUGUAUAUUUUAAAAUAAUAUAUAAUAUUGUGAAAUAAAAUAAAAUAUAUAAGGUUAAAAUAGCAUUGGUUUAAACAAAAUGUAUGCUUAAAUACAUACUACUAUCCAUAAAAGCUUACAACAGAUUAAAAGAAUUCUAGAUAAGAUUAAACUACAAAUG
rnacentral:lncRNA from 1 species